rnacentral:rRNA from 1 species
AGCGAACGCUGGCGGCGUACUUAACACAUGCAAGUCGAACGAGGAUCUUCAGUGUAGCAAUACAUCGGAGGUCCUAGUGGCGCACGGGUGAGUAACACGUGGGUGACCUGCCCUUGAGCUCGGGAUACCCCCUCGAAAGGGGGGCUAAUACCGGAUACGUUCCCCGGUCGAAAGACUGGGGAGGAAAGGUGGUGCAAGCUGCCGCUCUUGGAGGGGCUCGCGGCCUAUCAGCUAGUUGGCGGGGUAACGGCCCACCAAGGCUAUGACGGGUAGCUGGUCUGAGAGGACGACCAGCCACACGGGGACUGAGACACGGCCCCGACUCCUACGGGAGGCAGCAGUGGGGAAUUUUCCGCAAUGGGCGAAAGCCUGACGGAGUGACGCCGCGUGUGGGACGAAGGCCUUCGGGUCGUAAACCACUGUCAGUGGGAGAGAUGGGUGUCGGUGCUAAUACCAUCGGCAUCUGACGGUACCUGCAGAGGAAGCCCCGGCCAACUCUGUGCCAGCAGCCGCGGUAAGACAGAGGGGGCAAGCGUUGCUCGGAAUUACUGGGCGUAAAGGGCGCGUAGGCGGGAUGGUAAGUCGGUCGUGAAAUCCCUCGGCUCAACCGAGGAACGUCGAUCGAUACUACUGUUCUUGAGGGUUGCAGAGGAGACUGGAAUUCCCGGUGUAGCGGUGAAAUGUGUAGAGAUCGGGAGGAACACCGGUGGCGAAGGCGGGUCUCUGGGCAAUUCCUGACGCUGAGGCGCGAAAGCGUGGGGAGCAAACGGGAUUAGAUACCCCGGUAGUCCACGCUGUAAACGAUGAGCACUAGGUGUGGGGGGGUUCAGUCCCUUCCGUGCCGCAGCUAACGCAUUAAGUGCUCCGCCUGGGGAGUACGGCCGCAAGGUUGAAACUCA